CACUCCAUGAGCCCCGUACCUGCUCCAUGCUAAGUGCCCUGGGCUCCCCAGCCAAGUCGGCGUUAGAGGCAGGAAAUUAACGACCCGGCGAGCACGAGCGAGAGAAGCGACUUCAUCUCCAGCUGCGGAAGGAGGGGACUCUCCCAGGGACGGAUCCCUCCGCCCCAGCCCUCGGCCUGCACCGCCCGAAUGGAGUAAUCCCGCCGACUCCAAACCCAGCCAUAGUGGUUGUCCAGAUUGGCCAAUCGGACCACCUUCAACAUUUCCACCCAGGUGAAAAUCCCCAGGUACUGGAGAGCAGAAGAAAGGCAACAGUAAUCAGCUGUAGGCUUCAGAAAAGUCAAGGCAGGAGGGCACAGCCCAUGGAAAUGGCAAGCAAAAACUUCGAAGGCUCAGAACCAGCAGUCCAGCACCCAGGGGAGUCUUCCAGAGGAAACUGACGCUCACCAAGAGGAAAUGUAAAGAGACAGCUUUGCCAUUCCUCAGCCAAGACCCCAGUCAGUCUCUCCAGAGGGAAGCCCCAGCACAAGCCCACCCAGCCCCAAGCUGCCUCCCUCGAGCUCAUUUGAGCCCUUCAGACAACCCUGAAGAGAAAACCCAACAAGACAACCACCAGGGUAGGGGCAGGUGAGGGGGGAUCUUUGAAGAAACAGACUUAGGCAAGGAGGAGAAAAUAUCAGAAAUAGCCGUAUUUAAUAUCCUCGAAGAGAUCAGAGGAGAUAUUGCAUCCCAGAACCAAGAGCAGGAUGCUAUUUUAAGGAGAACAUUUAGAGAACAAAAAGGGCUGGGAAAUUAAAAGCAUGAGAGCCGAAACAAAAAAAAAAAAACUCAACAGACUGGUUGGAAGAUAAAAGUAAGCGAAUGUCCCAGAAGGCACAGCAAAAAGACAAAGAGGAAAAAAGAAAGAAAGGAGGAAAAAUUAGAUGCCACAUUCAAACUACACAAAAGAAUCCUGGGGCGGCGGGCCGGGGGGUGAAUGAGAAUCACAAACUAUUUAAUUCAAGAAAUGUUCCCAGAAAUGAGAAUGAGUUUUCAAAUUCUACACACAAUGGAUGGAAAUUGACCCACAUCAAGGCAUAUUAUAAUAGAAAAUAGAGAAAGUUCCCUCAGGUUUCCAAGCACUAUGAAAAAGAGCAAGGGUGAGAGUGACUCCUGAAUUUUCAACAGCAACAGCAGGGCAAGCUAACAAACAACACAGUAUGCCUUCAAAACGCCAACAGAUAGUGAUUUCUGGCCUAGAAUCUUUUACUUAAUCAAAACGACAAUAAAAUGUGAAUUAAAAUAAAGACGUUUGAAUAGGCAAAGUGUCAAAAAUAUUAUUUCCUGUGUGCCAUCUUCCAGCUACUGCAGGAUGUGCUCCAACAAAACAAAGAAGGAGAACAUGAAAGAGGGCAACAAGGGAGAGAGAAAACAGGGGCUCCACUAAGAAAACAAGAGGGACAGGUGCACAGGACAGUGAGAAGAGAUGACAAGAGGGCAGAUGUGCACUAGGCAAGAAGCCAUCGUCUAAAUGAGAGCAGGGAAACCAGACAAGCCAACUGUCCAGGGCACAGACACAUCGAGGGCUGUCGUCAGUGAAAUGCUUUUGACACCGUAAAAACCUGGCCUAGAAUCUUCUCUGUACUCAGAGGCCAGGCUGAGAUGGAGUUCCCCCUCCUCUCUCUCUGCAGCACAACUGAUAUAGGCUGGACACAUUUCAGCCCUCAGAGGUCUCCUACCUUGACCCACUCUUAGAAAUGGGAAGGAGGUCACCGUGAGCUAGGAAACAGAAAGGCAGAUCAGCUGCUUACCCCACCCAGCACCCAGCCAGGCACCCCAGCUGGCGUCUCCUUUCCCCAGGACCCCUUAUGCCCUGCUUACUCUCGAAAAGGGUCUCUUGAAAAUUGCUGGGCAACUGAGGUCCAAGACCUUUCCCUUUGUCUCCUCCCAGGCCCCUCCCUCUAGGAACAGCAGCCCAAAGGCACCUUGGGCAGAGAGGACACCGAAGGUCAGCUUCUGUCUCCAUCACCAUGCACAUCCACUCUGGAAGUUAAUGACAGCACAAAAAUAGGGUAAAAUGUUUGAGGAAAACAGGGUAUGAGGGGGCUUCUUUCCCAUCACCAGCUUUUAACGUUAGGCCCACAGAUAAGCAAUACCACAGGCUGCUGCGGAGAUUAUGUUACAUCUGGUACCAGGUUGCCCAAGUGGUCUAAUUUUAUUUUAUUUCAUUUUAUUUUAUUUAUUUUUGUGGUUCUGG
ensembl:lncRNA